rnacentral:rRNA from 1 species
CACGUAGGGUGCGAGCGUUGUCCGGAAUUAUUGGGCGUAAAGAGCGUGUAGGCGGUUUGGUAGGUCCGCUGUGAAAACUACGAGGCUCAACCUCGAGACGCCGGAUGGAAACCAUCGAACUAGAGUCCGGAAGAAGGAGAGUGGAAUUCCGUGGAUGUAGCGGUGAAAUGCGCAGAUAUCAGGAGGAACACCGACAGCGAAAGGCAGCACUCGUGGGCCGGUACUGACGCUGAGGAGCGGAAAGCAUGGGGAGCGAACAGG